rnacentral:rRNA from 1 species
AUUGAACGCUGGCGGCAGGCCUAACACAUGCAAGUCGAGCGAGCGGCGGACAGGUGAGUAAUGACUGGUAAACUGCCUGAUGGAGGGGGAUAACUACUGGAAACGGUAGCUAAUACCGCAUACCAUCAGAUGUGCCAAGAUGGGAUUAGCUAGUAGGUGGGGUAACGGCCAACCUAGGCGACGAUCCAUAGCUGGUCUGAGAGGAUGCACAGCCACACUGGAACUGAGACACGGUCCAGACUCCUACGGGAGGCAGCAGUGGGGAAUAUUGCACAAUGGGCGCAAGCCUGAUGCAGCCAUGCCGCGUGUGUGAAGAAGGCCUUCGGGUUGUAAAGCACUUUCAGCGGGGAGGCGUUACCCGCAGAAGAAGCACCGGCUAACUCCGUGCCAGCAGCCGCGGUAAUAC